rnacentral:vault_RNA from 1 species
ACAUCGGUUUAGCUCAGUGGUUACUUCUAAUCGAAAACUUGCUAUCCUACGGUCCGCGGGCUGUGGGGUUCAACCACGGGCGCUGUCCGAUGUUUUA